rnacentral:rRNA from 1 species
CAGUCGCCACGGGAAUACGGAGGGUGCAAGCGUUAAUCGGAAUUACUGGGCGUAAAGCGCACGCAGGCGGUCUGACAAGUCAGAUGUGAAAUCCCCGGGCUUAACCUGGGAACUGCAUUUGAAACUGUCAGGCUGGAGUCUUGUAGAGGGGGGUGGAAUUCCAGGUGUAGCGGUGAAAUGCGUAGAGAUCUGGAGGAAUACCGGUGGCGAAGGCGGCCCCCUGGACGAAGACUGACGCUCAGGUGCGAAAGCGUGGGGAGCAAACAGGAUUAGAUACCCCUGUAGUCCCUGUCUCUUAUAC